CUCAUAAGUAAUCUCGGUCCCACCGAUUCCAUAAACUCAGUCACACCGAGAUGAACCACCUCAGCCAUAUAGCCCAAACCCUAGUAAUUUCGGAUUUUCCGAUUCCAAACUCGGUCUUACCGAAAUUGGUGUUGCCAACCUUCUGUAACCUUCUGUACUCAAAUCGGUGUCACCGAGAUGAGAAAGUCGGUCCCACCGAGAUUGGCAAACCCUAGACUUUGGAAGAAUCGGACUAACCGAGAUUGUAUUUUCGGUCCCACCGAAAAUCCCAACUUUCACAAGAUUUGAACUUUCGGUCUCACCGAGUUGUCAACUUCGGUCUGACCGAGAUUGGUCAAAUGUGUGUAACGGUUGGAUUUUGUGUGGAGGCUAUAAAUACCCCUCCACCUCCUCUUCAUUCGUGGAGAGAGCCAUCAGAAAGAACUACCACUCCUACCUUACAUUUCUGAGAAGAAAACUACCUACCCUUGUGUUGAGAUCAAGUUGCUCCACUCCAACCAUAUGAAACUUGAUUUCUAACCUUCCCAAGUUGCUUUCCACUCAAUCCUUUCUUCCACCACAGCCAAAUCAGUGAGGAGAGUUGAGUGUUCGGGAGAUUAUCAUUUGAAGCACAAGAGCAAGGAGUUCAUCAUCACCAACACCAUCUAUUACCUUUUGGAGGGUGGUGCCUCCUAGAUUGGUUAGGUGUCGCUUGGGAGCCUCCGUCAAGAUGUGGAGUUGAACCAAGAAGUUUGUAAGGGCAAGGAGAUCGCCUACUUCGUGAAGAUCUACCCCGAGUAAGGCUAGUCCUCCGUGGACGUAGGCCAUGAUGGCAUAGACAAGGUUGCUUCUUCGUGGACCCUUCGUGGGUGGAGCCCUCCGUGGACUCUCGCAGCCGUUACCCUCCGUGGGUUGAAGUCUCCAUCAACGUGGAUUGACGAUAGCACCACCUAUCGGAACCACGAGAAAAAUCUCCGUGUCUCCAAAUUGCGUUUGCUCUUCUCCACCUCUUAUUUACUACAUGUGCAAUUUACUUUCCGCUGCCAUCACUCUAGAAUUGCAUGUGUAGGGUGAUACUUGACUUGGUCAUCAUUGUGAACUUGCUAAAAACUUGCCCUAAUCAAAAGGAUAAACUUUUAAGUUGUCAAGUAGUCUAAUCACCCCCCCCCUCUAGACAUACUUCCGAUCCUACAAGUGGUAUCAGAGCUUUGGUCUCCAUUGGAUUGGUUUCCAUUGCAUUGGACUCCAUAAGCUUGGUUUCACAACCUAGGAGAGUAUGGCGUCUAGUGAGGGUAAUUUCCGUAGAGGUCCUUACUUUGAUGGUUCAAAUUUUGCUAGUUGGAAGCAUAAAAUGAAAAUGCAUAUUCUUGGACAUAACCCUGCCGCAUGGGGCAUUAUUUGUGUUGGCUUGCAAGGUGAGUUCUUCGAGGAAGGAAAAGUUCCGGAUCGCGAAGCUACAGCGGAUGAGUUGCGGAUGUUACAGAACAAUGCUCAAGCUUGUGACAUUCUCUUCAAUGCUUUGUGUCCCGAGGAGUUCAACAAGAUCAGCCGUCUUGAGAAUGCAAAAGAGAUUUGGGAUACUUUGGUCGAAAUGCACGAAGGUACCGAGUCCGUGAAGGAAUCCAAGCUAGAUGUUCUUCAAGGUCAACUUGACAAGUUCAAGAUGAAGGAAGGUGAAGGGGUCGCUGAAAUGUACUCUAGGCUUGCUCUCAUCACCAAUGAGAUGGCAGGCUUAGGAAGCGAAGAAAUGACCGACCGAUUCAUCAUCAAGAAGAUUCUCAGAGCUUUGGAUGGAAAGUAUGAUACCGUGUGCACUUUGAUCCAAAUGAUGCCAAACUACAAGGAUCUCAAGCCUACCGAAGUCAUUGGAAGGAUUGUUGCUCAUGAGAUGACACUUAAAGAUAAGGAAGAGCUUCACAACAAGUCAAGUGGUGCUUACAAAGCUACAGUUGAAGCUCCCACAACCUCAAGUGACAAGCUAGUUUCCAAUGAAGAGAUAAGCCUAAUGGUGAAGAACUUCAACAAAUUCUACAAGAGUAGAAGCAAGGAAAGAAGCUCAAAGUCUAGAUCAUAUGAUGAAAAGAGAUCUUCUAGUCGUGAUCGAAACUGCUACAAUUGUGGAAGACCCGGACACUACUCAAAUGAGUGUUCGACUCCCCACAAGAGAAGAGAAGAAUCUCCAAGAAGAAGAAGCUCAAGAGAAGAGUCGCCUCGGAAAGAGAGAAGGAGUAGAGAUGAUCGUUAUGAACGAAGAUCCUCUCGGAGAAGCAAGGAUUCGGAAAGGAAAGACAAGUCAUCAAGGAGCUACACAAGAAGAAAACAUCAAGCUCAUGUUGGUGAAUGGGUUUCCGGCUCCGACUCCGACAAUCACUCCGAAAGAAGCUAUAACUCCAACUCCGAAUACAGUCAAGAUGAAGGUGUUGCCGGUCUUGCUCUCGUAUCCUCCAACUCCAACUCCUAUGACUUGUUUGAUUCACCAAAUGAGGGAAUUGGAAGAUGCUUCAUGGCAAAAGGCCCCAAGGUAUCACACCCUGAAUUUAUUGACUUUGAUAGUGAUGAAGAUGACUUGCUUGGUGAAGAUGAGCUUUUACAUGACAAAUCUAGUGAGCUUAGUAAUGAUGAACCUGCUAAUAGUCUUUAUAGUCGAGAAGAGUCGAAUGACAAUGCUAUGAAGGUGAUUGAGCGUCUAACUAAAGAACUAAACACUCUUAAGUUAGCUCAUGAAACAACUCAAGAAGAUCAUAGAGAGCUCCUAAGAUCUCAUGAGAAGCUACGCUUCGAGAAGCUCAAUCUAGAGCAAGAACAUGAGUUUCUAAAAGCUAUCAAUGACGAUCUUCGAAAGAAGAGUUCUUCAUAUCUUGCCAAACGACUUCUCUUGUCUAAUUUCUUGCCACCUAUUAAAACUAAGCAUGACAAGCAUAAGAAAAAUUCUUCAUCUAGUAGUAACAAUAAUCAUGCUAAAUCCAAUAUUGUUACUUCUAGUAAUUCUCUUGAUUCCACUAACAAUGUUUCAAGCCAAGUUUCACUUGAGCAAGAAAAUAGUCUAUUGAAAGGGAUUAUAGAGAAAGGUGUCUACAAGAGCCUUGCCGGAAGCAAGAACUUUGAGUAAAUUUUUCGCAAGCAAGGAAGGCACCGGAAGAAUCAAGGAAUUGGUUUUGAGCGAAGAUUCAACGCCGAGGGUGUUGAAUGGGAAGAAGGUCAAUAUCCCACUCCAAAGUUUGUUUCUCAAAAGGAGAAGUAUGAUCCUACUUCUUCCAAUGUGGAACAAGCUCAAGAUGACCUUCCACCACAAGACCACAAGCUAAAAGGCAAGGACAAGCUUCAAGAGGAGAUUGAUGCAUUCAUUGAAGCACCCAAGGCCAUGGUCAAGUGGGUUCCCAAGGCAACUUCAAGUUCUACUUCGACAAGCUCAACUACUACCCCAAGGAUUCCCAUCAAGAUGAUGUGGAUCCCGAAGAAGAAGAACUAGAGAGUUCUUGAGGGUGACUCCGCCAAUAUACUUCACUCACAUGCAUUUUGGCAAAGAACUUGUGCAAUCAACUUCCACAUCUUGCACUAGUUCAUGGAGUCACAAACCCUCAUGUUGGUAAGUCAAGGGACAAGGUAAUCAUUGCUUUCAUGGACAUCAUCUAUUGUGUACUUCAAUCUAUGUCCAUGGAUAUCCUUGUUUGUUCCUUGUGGGACUAACCCAUGUAGGUAUUGAAAGUGCCCGAAUCCAAAGGAUUGCUCCCAACUCUUGAUGAUCUUCAUCAACAUUGAGCAUCCACAUCUUCAACAUCUACAUGAAGUCUUCAACGACAACCCAAGGUUAGUUUGACCCUUUAAAAGGGGUUCUCACAUCAAGGGGGAGCUUUGCUCUAAAGAAAUGAGCUAAAGCAUCUUCAAAUGAUGUGAACACAUUAAUGCUUUAUGUAAAAGUGGUAACCCCACUUGUGCUUAAACGAUGAGUAUGACCUAUGAUCAAAUGUUCUCAUUUGACUCCUAAGUCAAUAUACUCAUAUAUAGAUGACCUAGUCAUCGCCAAAUUGUGUGCUAGUUGCUAGUGUUUUGAUUGUGCAUGUUUGACACAUAUUUCAUUUGCUAUCUUAUUGUGUGAGCAUGUUGGAUGCAUGAUUUUAUCCAUUCAAGGACAUCCAUUUGCUGCUUUGGUCUUUUGGAUUUUUCUUUUUGACCAAAUGGAUGGACAAGAAUGCCUAAGUUCCUCCCCUAGCUAUCUAUGCUUUCUUGUCUCAAACUCUAUUCAUGCUUAUAUCACAAACUUUGAACAAGACUUUUUCGGACAGACCGAGUGAGGAGCACUCGGAGCCACCGAUCCGUCAAAAGCUUAAAUUCCAAAACCUUCUAAGUAUUUUCGGUCAAACCAAUAUACUCAAAUCGGACAGACCGAAAUCACUUGGAUUGAUCUAGGUUUUCACCUCGGUGAAACCGAGUUGUAAAUUUCGGCGUGACCGAUGUGAGUAACUGCACGCAGUUAACCAUCUCGGUCCCACCGAGUUUUCCAACUCGGUCCCACCGACAACCGAAGGGUAUAUAUACCCGAGGGCAGCGCGCGUUGAUUAUUCCUUCAAAACGUCUCGCCCUCAAACCCUUCGCUGCCGUCGCCGUGGUCUACGGAUCGUCUCCGCCGUCGCCUGUGCGCCCUCGCCGCGGGUCUCCAUCGCCGUCAACGGUCAAUCUCACCGCACCGUUGCCGCCGUAGUGAAACUCCACCAAGUUGGGUGAGUUUCAUCCCUCUCGUGCUUCAACCUCUGAUUCAAUGCACGAUAGGUUUUGCCUAGCUUCUUGCCAAGUUUGAAAUCUUCCUAUCCAGCAGAUUAGAUCUUAGAACAAAAUUCGAGUGAAAAUUUUAGGGUUAGGUUUCCGCCGAACACAUCUCGGUGUGACCGAUUCUACAUUCUCGGACUGACCGAUUUGGCCUCUGGCCAUUGCACUGCACUUUUCGGUUCAACCGAGUUGUGCAAAUCGGUAAGACCGAAAUGAGGAUUUAGUGAAACCCUAGUGCUCUCGGCUAGACCGAAACCCAUUUCGGUCCAACCGAAAGUGGUGUGAACGGUUAGGUUUAGACACUUCGGAUUCACCGAAUUUUAGACUCGGUCAGACCGAAAUGCAUUCUGUGAAAACCUAAAACUGAAGUUUGAACUCAUUCAUUUUGCAAAAUCCUCUGCAGUUUGUGAUAACUCUUCUAUUCUGCCUAUACCUAUUCUAUUCACAGGUUGUCAGUCAUGUCUGAUGCAAGUGACAGCCAGAACAGGUCUGAAUCACCAGUUGCAAUUCCAGAGGCAGUUACAAGUCCUGAAGCAAGCAGUUUUUCAGAUGAUGGAGAGAGGAGCACUCCAAGUGGAUUGCCUCCUGCUGCCACCAGGGCCAGGAAGAAGAGGAAUUCAGAUGAGGAAGACUCUGACUUUGUUGCUGAUGAGGAGAUUACUUCAAAGCCAAAGAGGAAAGUGGUUGCCAAAGGCUAUCAAGGGCAACAAACAAAGAAAGGCACCAGCAAAGAGAAGAAAUCCACAGUUGCAAAGAAGCUGAGCAUGGAAGAAGAAACCUCCAGCAAGAUAAAGAAAACUUCCAAGAGGAAGAGGCUAGUUCAUGAUGAAGCUGAUGAUGAUUCUGAUGAGGAAGCACCCCAGCCUCCUCAGAAGCAAAAGUUGAUGGGAGAUGCCAUCAGGGCAGGAGCACCCACUAAAUCUAAGCCAUCAGCUCCAGCAAAGGCAGCCCAAGCCAAACCUGCUGCCAAGCCAAAGAAAACAGUGAGAAACAUUCCUGCUUCAAAGAAGAAGAAGGAUAAUGUGCCACCUGCUGAAUCUGAUGAAGAGGCACAUGUAUUGCUGAAGCUCAGACAGAAAUUGCCAGUCCAUAAUGAUGCUCAUCCUCGAGCAGAAAAUAUGAAGGAAAGGAAGGACAAAGGUCUCAGGCUAUGGAGGCAAGUUGAUCCAUAUGCCACCAGGAGAAGGACAGCUGUUGACUCAAGGUUCCACACCAGAGAGCAACAAGAUUUCUAUGAGACAGUGCUCAUGGACAAGAAGCCAAUUGUUGCUGACACCAGAUACGUUGACUGGGAUUACAUCGACAGUGAAGAGCACAGAGACUACUUCCCACAUGUGCAUGAGAGCUUCACUGCAUGUGGAGUUGCAGAGUUCGUUGGUCAGAAAUUGACUGCUUGGAAUGAUGAAAUGAUCAUGCAGUUCUAUGCCACCGCACACUUCUAUCCAGAUGGCAGAAUUGUAUGGAUGACAGAAGGCCAGAGAUUCUCCUCAACAGUUGAGGAAUGGAGAGCAUUGCUGAAUGCUCCAGCAUCAAGAGAUGAUGAUGUUGAUGUUUAUGGAAUUCCCAAGAAGAAUCAUGAGUCUAUGAAGAACAUGUACAAUGAGGUACUAGCCAAGGAUGUUGAGAUAUGGAAGCUUGGAUCAGUAUAUCAUCUUCAGGCAGGUCUCCCAACCACUAACACCAUUCUGAGGCAUACUUUGAUGCCCAAGUCAGGAGACCACCGCAUGAUAAGAGGCUAUUCUAUCAACAUGCUGCACAUUCUAGAUCAGAAGGCACCUUUUAAGGUGAUGGACCUGAUAGUUGAGACUAUCAAGAGGACAGCAGCAGACCAGAAGAGGUCAUGUGGGUUUGCCCCGCACAUUCAGAUGCUCAUCAAUGCCAAGUUUGGCACGGGCACCUACCUGUUGGAUAGACCCCACUUGCCACUGCAGCCUGAACAUGAAGAUAAUGAAGUCGUAAUGACUGAGGAUGAUCCCACAUCUGUCGAAGGACAAGCUAAGUCUGAAGCUGCCAAACAAGCUAAAGCUGAGAAGGAAGCAGCAGCAGCAGCAGCCAAGCCCAAGAGCGUUGGAGAACAACUUCUUGAAGCCACUCAGAGGAUUGAACUACGCCUGGCCAGCAUAGUGCAGUCUCAGGAGAGUCUUGAGAGGAUAGUUGAAGACAAGUUCCAUGCUCUGGAUGUCAAGCUGACUGAAGUGCAGGUCACCGUCAACAAGCUUGAGGCAGACAUCGAGGAAGCGAAGAGGGAGAAGGCAGAGCUCAUGAAGGAGAUGGAAGGUGAUAUGGUCCAGGAUGACUAUGAGCAGCCUGCUCCAGUGCCCACAAAGCCCAGAUCAGCUGCUAUUCCAGUGACAGACCCCAGGGCUACUACAUCAGCACCUCCCACAGCUCCGUCAGUUCCAGCUCCAGCUCCAGUGUCCACUCCUCCAGCUCCACAGACUUCAGCAGAAGCUUUUGCAGAUGCAGCUAUCUCCACUCCAUCGACGCAGACAGGAGCCGCCAGCAGAGUCCCUAGUGACGCUUAGCUCUAUACCUUUCGAACUUUUUGGUAACUUGUUGCCAAAGGGGGAGAAAUUGUAUAGAUCAUAGGACUUUGAGAGAGAGAGUGCUCGUUUUUGCUCUUUCGUUUGCGGUUUUCCUUGAGAUACUUUUGAGUUCUUCGAGACAUUUCGUGUGUUUGAUACUAUGUUUGCUCUAUCUUGAUGAGUGCUUGAUCAUACUAUGCUUAAUGUGUGCUUAAUGCUUAUCAUAUUCUAUUCAUAUCUUGUAUGAUCACUUACUCAUGUCUUGGUGAUUGGGUGCAUGCUAUUCAUUCUUAUCAUUUUGUGCACUCCACCAAGAUGUAUGUGACAUGGAAGAGUGACCCAUGAUCCUAAUCGAUUGUGCAUUUGCAUUCAAGCGCAAAUCUUAAAUAAUGCACAAAUUUAGGGGGAGCUCUUGCUUAUCACAUACUUCUCAAAGCGACGAUGUUAUUCAUUGAUUAUAUCAUUUGUCGAAGCUUUGAUCUAUAUGUUGUCAUCAAUUACCAAAAAGGGGGAGAUUGAAAGUGCAACUAAUCCCCGGGUGGUUUUGGUAAUUAAUAACAACAUAUAUAUCAUUGAACUAAUUAUUUCUUGAGAAUAUUUCAGAAAGUUCAGUGAUAUGGGUAUGGCAAUGACUGAUGAUGUGGACCCCUCAAAAUGCUAAGGAAAACAUUGGCAAAAGCUCAAGACUCUAUUUUUUGGUUUAGUGAUCCAAGAUCACAUUGAGUCCAUAGGAAAGCCAAUACUAUUAAAAGGGGAUGAGGUUAUGAUGAUGAUCUGGUUGCUCAUUGUGCUUGGUGAUUUAUCUCUCAAACUAUCAGCAAUCUUUCAUUCCAACAAACUCAUAAGUAAUCUCGGUCCCACCGAUUCCAUAAACUCAGUCACACCAAGAUGAACCACCUCAGCCAUAUAGCCCAAACCCUAGUAAUUUCGGAUUUUCCGAUUCCAAACUCGGUCUUACCGAAAUUGGUGUUGCCAACCUUCUGUAACCUUCUGUACUCAAAUCGGUGUCACCGAGAUGAGAAAGUCGGUCCCACCGAGAUUGGCAAACCCUAGACUUUGGAAGAAUCGGACUAACCGAGAUUGUAUUUUCGGUCCCACCGAAAAUCCCAACGUUCACAAGAUUUGAACUUUCGGUCUCACCGAGUUGUCAACUUCGGUCUGACCGAGAUUGGUCAAAUGUGUGUAACGGUUGGAUUUUGUGUGGAGGCUAUAAAUACCCCUCCACCUCCUCUUCAUUCGUGGAGAGAGCCAUCAGAAAGAACUACCACUCCUACCUUACAUUUCUGAGAAGAAAACUACCUACCCUUGUGUUGAGAUCAAGUUGCUCCACUCCAACCAUAUGAAACUUGAUUUCUAACCUUCCCAAGUUGCUUUCCACUCAAUCCUUUCUUCCACCACAGCCAAAUCAGUGAGGAGAGUUGAGUGUUGGGGAGAUUAUCAUUUGAAGCACAAGAGCAAGGAGUUCAUCAUCACCAACACCAUCUAUUACCUUUUGGAGGGUGGUGCCUCCUAGAUUGGUUAGGUGUCGCUUGGGAGCCUCCGUCAAGAUGUGGAGUUGAACCAAGAAGUUUGUAAGGGCAAGGAGAUCGCCUACUUCGUGAAGAUCUACCCCGAGUAAGGCUAGUCCUCCGUGGACGUAGGCCAUGAUGGCAUAGACAAGGUUGCUUCUUCGUGGACCCUUCAUGGGUGGAGCCCUCCGGACUCUCGCAGCCGUUACCCUCCGUGGGUUGAAGUCUCCAUCAACGUGGAUUGACGAUAGCACCACCUAUCGGAACCACGAGAAAAAUCUCCGUGUCUCCAAAUUGCGUUUGCUCUUCUCCACCUCUUAUUUACUACAUGUGCAAUUUACUUUCCGCUGCCAUCACUCUAGAAUUGCAUGUGUAGGGUGAUACUUGACUUGGUCAUCAUUGUGAACUUGCUAAAAACUUGCCCUAAUCAAAAGGAUAAACUUUUAAGUUGUCAAGUAGUCUAAUCACCCCCCCUCUAGACAUACUUCCGAU
rnacentral:lncRNA from 1 species